GUUCGGCAAAUGAUGAAUCUCAUUUUAUUUUAUGGGUAAUUUGCGACUGAAAUUUAGUUGAUGCUUAUCACCUUGGAGAACUGAUGCCGAAC